UACGUAGGGACCAAGCGUUGUUCGGAUUUACUGGGCGUAAAGGGCGCGUCGGCGGCUUGACAAGUCACUUGUGAAAUCUCCGGGCUUAACUCGGAACGGCCAAGUGAAACUGUCAUGCUAGAGUGCAGAAGGGGCAAUCGGAAUUCUUGGUGUAGCGGUGAAAUGCGUAGAUAUCAAGAGGAACACCUGAGGUGAAGACGGGUUGCUGGGCUGACACUGACGCUGAGGCGCGAAAGCCAGGGGAGCAAACGGG
rnacentral:rRNA from 1 species